CGGUUUUAACCCGGUUUUCAUCAAGCAAUACUCAUUUCAUACAAAUAAAAAAUAGAUAUUUCCAUUGAUUGUAAACUAAACAGUCCAAUUAAAGAUUGUCUCGGGGGAACCAAGGCGGUGACGCGAUUCGGUUUUACUACAGAAAUCAGAUUUCCAGGGCCGUAUUUAAUAACGAGCAAAGCGAGGUACUUGCCUCAGUAACAAUUUUGAAUUUAUUUAUAUUAUUUAUUCCAAGUUCUCGUUAUAGGCUGCGCAUUACAAAAAUAAAUCAAUGUGAAACAAGAGUUUUUUUUGCUGAUAUUGCCUUGGAAAAAAAAAUUUUACUCUGGCUAAGGUCGUCAAUUUUGACACAGACUAACGCAUGGAAAACGAGCAUGAAACGCUUGUAAUUCACUUUCUCGCAAACUAACCAAAAAUUACUUUUGAUCAGUAAACUUAUAUCGACUCUAUGUUCCAAAAUUUAAAUUUUACACAAAGGUAAAUUAGACAGAGGAUUUCUAUGCAAAUACUACUUCGCUCCAAGUUUUCAAAAUGGCGGACAAUAUGCGAUGCGCACUGGACUAGCAAACGUUAACCGCAUUUUACACGGUAAAAUUCGAGAAAUGCUAUGGAAAUUUUAUUAGAUUAGCCAUACUCUUUUCCGUAGCUCUUGGAAAAUAAAUCAAUGACGAUAAGGUUCAGAAACGCCUCAGGUUCAUUGAACCUGCUGCCAGAAGCUUCUGUGUUGUCCCGUCUCCAUAACAGGGCACGUCUUCCCACCUGAACUAAAAGCGUCAUAACAAGCCGGGCCACCGCCUAGCAAUCCAAACUAAGGAACACUUUUGAAAAUCUCUAAGUUUUCAGUCAGCCUUUGCCACUUCUGUGCUCGUCAGUGUCGCAAAACAUACGAUGAUAAUUGCGUUCGCAGAAGAAGAAUUUACUGAGGUUGUAAAAUCGCCCCAAAGGGCCACAAAGAUUGAACUGAGAGGGAUGCGGACUCUUGCACUCUUUGAAAUCGGAGAUAAGUGGAAUGUUUAAAUCGCGUGUUUAUUUGUGUUUGUGCUCCGUUGAUUUGCCAUCAGCUGGCGAUGUACACGCAAUAGAUGCUAUUUUGAGGCUUUUGAUUUUGAUCUAAGGCCGAAGAGGGCACUCUGGUACCACGAUGGCAGCUCAUGGAAACUGAAGGUUAGCCCCUGUACUUGGUUUACUUACUGAUAUUUCUUGUAAUUCAAUAAACGUUCAUAGCAAUAUACUGAACAUCGAAAGAGUUGACGUAUUUUGCUUUUACUGACUUUUUGAUUGUGAUCUAAGGCAAGAAGGCUCUCAACGAUAUAGUAGCUCAUGGAAAGUGAAGCCUACUCACAGGUGAUGUUAUAGCCAUACUCUCACACUUGUCUAAACGUGCGAGCUACCUGAACUUUGAAGAGUGAUCCAUGGAAAAUUUUAGGAUUAUCAACUUGCCAUUUAGCUAUAGGAACACAGCCGGAUUUCACCUGUUGUCUUCUUUAGUACCCAUUAGAGGCAAUCAACUAGCUAACCGUUGAGAAUUGAAAUAAUUCAAUAUCCUGAAUACAUAGGAAGUGCCGGCAAAAGUUUGAUUUUGUAGAGUAAUAUCAACACGUAUUUUUGACAUGUACAACACUGUCCACUACAGUUCUGAUGUAAGCCAAGUUAUUCUUCCAAAACGCUCUAUUUGUUUACUGUUUUCAUCCAGAUCUGUCUAGUAUACCUUCUAACGAAUUUCUGAUACCAUUUUUCUGCAUUUUUCGUUCGUCUUGAAGAUAUUUCUUCAGUUUUCUUUUCUUGAUUUCAACUAUAUUUGAAUGCUAUUGUCCAUGGGAUGCAUCUUGCUAUAUUGCAGGAUGAUAUCUUAAAUCAAUUGUGUUUUUUUUUUCUUUUUAAUCGUCUUGUAGAAUAUAUAUCUAUUCUUUGACUGACUUAUCCCAAGAGUCUUCUUUUCCAGUGCUGUUUGGCUGCUUCAGUUAACGUUGGUAACUUAUUUAAUCAAGAUUUUCUGGCUGUCUUCAUAAGAAAUAAUAUUCACAUCACUACGCCAGGGUUGUCUCAAGUGAUAAACUGUAUCAUUAACCGUCCUCCUUCCGUUAACGGUCUUGGUCUCGGCUAUAGUCGCUCAAUAUUAUUGAAGUUUUAGUUAUGAUGAUUUUACCGGUUCAGUGAAGUCUCUGCCUGUUGGACCACACGGUUCAACUUUUCUGCUUUCCAGUGAAAUCCCGUUGAAAUGCUAUUAGUCAGGUGAAGCUUAAGCGAAGCUAUUUUAAACUCUUCUGUUCACUGUAUGUUCCAGCAGAACUUUUACGGUUGAUAGAUCUGACAUGAUGACACGGGUAUUGCAACCGCUCUACUACACUACAGGCUGUUUUAUUCUCAUUCAGAUGGCGUUUAUCUAAGCGACGCAAAAUUGGCACUAUAUUUGUAAAGCGCAAUUCUGCCACACGCCAAGUCUCCCUCCUUAUUGACCUUGUUCGCAAAAGGGAUUCCCUGCUCGUCCAUUCUGUUCUCUAAAGAUUGUUGUGUAUCUGACACCCAUUGCAAUGUAAAGUUUAUACCACCAUGAUCUUGUUUUCUCAUUUUGUAAGUUCCCGAUCAAUCUUCAUCACCCGAAUCAUUCAGACCGGCUGACAAAAUUUGUCAGUUAAAGUCGCAAACAUUACUUAUCUUUUCUCCGCUAAGUUCAGUGUCGAUUUAGUAAAGGUUUGUUCGUUUAUGCGUUCUGCGGCGUUCCGAGAAUUUGUCAAUCAGUCAAAUUCCAGUCAAAACUUGCUAGCACAAUUCUGUCACAAAAUUGAAUCGAAGUGCAAUAUUGAAAAGAAAGCUGUUCUUGUACUAUUGUUAAGUGCUAAUGCCACGUGUUGACGUAUUUAGAAUUGAUAUCCGUAAAAAAAAUUACACUCAAAGACAUGCAUGAGCUAUUUAUGAGCAUAUAAACUGUAUUUUAACCGUGAUUCGUCUUAAAUUUCUUUCUUUUCAGUAGUGCCAAACGUACAGGAACUGUUCCUCUGUUGCUUAGCUGCUAAAGGAUAUAUAUCAACCCGAUUGCAACUUCCGAAUCAACCUGCAAGGGCCGAUCCCAAGCAAAGCAAAGUCCGCGCUCAGCGCGACUGAACGACUGAACCACGGUAAUUAAAGGUGAUCUGACUACCUAGGAAAAUGAUUCCACGCAAAACGUUAUAUAUAGUUGAGGUUUUUCCGUUUUAGUAAAUCGAAAAAGUCUAAAAUAACAGAAUCCGUUAUCAACUCAACUGAACUGAAGAUCAUCCUCUACGGACAAGCUUACAAAGUUUAGAAGUAAAAACGGUCGAAAUGCAUUCAACUCUAGGCAUAGUAGCUUGUAGUCUCUGUUCUCUGAUGCGUAAAAACCGUUACCAGAUAAAAGUACUACUCGCUAAUAGCCGUCUUGAGUGGCUACCGGCACACUAGGGAUUUUUCUACAUUCUUUAAACAUAGAACCACAUUGUACAGCCUAAAUAACAGUACCAAAUGAAAGUACUGUUCGACAGCUUCCAUUUAAGUGGUCACACACUGGGAUCGCUCCCGCGCACACCUAAAGUUAAUUAGGAUGCGUAAUAAACAGUGCAUUAAUUGGUAACACAGAAGUUUUCUUGCACAGAUCACUCGGCUUAAAAGGUACACCAAAAUAUGCAUUGCCGCAUGAAAGUCCUUCUCAGCUCAAUAGCUUUCAUUAAUAUGAACGAUCGCGCAUACGGGUUUCUUCAACCCACGUUAAGAGUCUGUUAAAUUAGACCCACCAUAAACGGCUCAACAAACUAUGACUAAUGGAAAAAUUGGUCCAAAGUUCAACAUGUUUCUUAUUUCUAUGUUUACAGAGAAUAUGACUAGGCUUUGGGGUGUAAAGCAUUUCAAGUUACACUGUUGAUAUUGUACCUGAGACUAAAAAAGAUAUAUGUAUGAGUGGAUAAUAUAUAGUAUUGGAUAAAGUUUGAACAGUUCAAGAAUUAAACUGCGAAUUUUUUUAAACCUUACAUGAUGAUAUCUGAUUAUAAAAAUAAUUUCCUACGCUAGAUAAUACUCGAUAGGCACGCGAAAUUAGUUCAUUUUUCAUUCCCGUAUCAAGCCUUAGCUACCAACAAGUGUUAAGUUAAAAUGGGUCAUAUAGAUAACUGGCCUCUCACUGAACCCAGUCAAUAACUUUAAUCUUCUCUGCUCUCGCGACAAAGUGUGUUAUCAGUAGAGAAGAGAGAAUAAGAAUCCCUGGGCCUUUUCUGCAAAGCAGCUCGACGUUUUGCCCAAAAGCUGUGCUCUUAGAAAAGCUUGCUUUGACUCUGAACAACAUAAUGGUAGUUAGGCUUUAUUAUUCGGCUUUGCUUGCAGGGUUCUUCUCCUAGUUCUACAUAGUAUCACACAUUUUAAUUUCGGAAACCUGCUCAGAAAACUUCAGUAUUGGACGAUCACAAUAAGAGAAAUUUUAAAAGAAUUCCAGGUCUUCUUUUGUAAAGCGGCUCAACGGUUUGCUAAAACCGGCUGUACUCUUCAAAAGGGCAUUACUUAGGGUCUGAGGUUAGACACUUCCAAAAACAACAAAAUCAUAGUAGCUUGACUUUCAUUUGCCAUUAUUUAUAUAGAGCUUCACUCAGUUCUCACUUAAAAUUAUUAAAAAGAAACUGAACUUUUCCCUAAGAGCUAUUCUACCAAAAAGCAGACCUCUUUUAACUUGCUUCUGUCCCGCUUUGUCUCUGCACCUGUCUAUAAACCUUCUUCUAGCUGGAUUCAGUAAAGACUAUGACCUUUUUUCCACUAAAAACACAGUUGUUACCUAUUGAGUUGCCCUUUGAGAUCUGGAAUUUUGAUCUCUCCUUGAUGUCUAUGUCCUUUUUUGAUGCCAUAUCAUGCGUACGUAUGUGGGCAUGAGUUUGUGUUGUCUAUGUUCUUAUUUUUUAAAACUGAGAAUUUUGCAUGAAGAGAUUUUUGUAUCUGAGUUUUGUGAGUUAUCAUUUGCAGAUAGCGUGUACGGUAAUAAAGCUUUAAUGUAAUUAUUUACUGGUGUACUGUUGAAAAAACGGAAGUAACAUGACAGCCACGCAUUUAGAAACCAAUCAGAUUCGAGGUCGAUUUCAGAAAACUGCCAUUGACCUGUCUUUGCUUAGCAACUUUUUACGCGAGUUGUAUAUAACUUGUUAUCAAAACACACAGCACAAAGCAGUGACCGACAGUAAUGGAUUUUUAUAAAUUGCUAUUGGUCUGCCUGAAUUUGUAAUGAUUAUUAUGAUGCAAUUUUCGUGUAUUAUAUAUAUCGUAAAACGCUCUUUCAAGGGAGCCCAAAUAAAUGAAAUGUACACUGA
rnacentral:lncRNA from 1 species